UACGUAGGGGGCAAGCGUUGUCCGGAAUCAUUGGGCGUAAAGCGCGUGUAGGCGGUCCGGUAAGUCCGCUGUGAAAGUCAGGGGCUCAACCCCUGAAUGCGGGUGGAUACUGCUGGGCUAGAGUCCGGAAGAGGCGAGUGGAAUUCCUAGUGUAGAGGUGAAAUUCGUAGAUAUUCGCAAGAACACCAGUGGCGAAGGCGGCUCACUGGCCCGAUACUGACGCUGAGGCACGAAAGCGUGGGGAGCAAACAGG
rnacentral:rRNA from 1 species